rnacentral:rRNA from 1 species
UACGGGGGGGGCAAGCGUUGUUCGGAAUUACUGGGCGUAAAGGGCUCGUAGGUGGCCAACUAAGUCAGACGUGAAAUCCCUCGGCUUAACCGGGGAACUGCGUCUGAUACUGGAUGGCUGGAGUAUGGGAGAGGGAUGCGGAAUUCCAGGUGUAGCGGUGAAAUGCGUAGAUAUCUGGAGGAACACCAAUGGCGAAGGCAGCACUCUGGGACGUGACUGACGCUGAGACGCGAAAGCGUGGGGAGCAAACAGG